rnacentral:rRNA from 1 species
AGCAGCCGCGGUAAUUCCAGCUCCAAUAGCGUAUAUUAAAGUUGUUGCGGUUAAAAAGCUCGUAGUUGAAUUUCGGGAUCAAUAUGUCGGUUAUGCUUAGGUAUGUACUGGUAUUAUUGAUUUCUCCCUUCUGAAGAACCAUGAUGUCAUUAAUUUGAUGUCAUGGGGAAUCAGGACUGUUACUUUGAAAAAAUUAGAGUGUUUUAAAGCAGGCUUUCGCUUGAAUACAUUAGCAUGGAAUAAUGAAGUAGGACGUUCGAUCCUAUUUUGUUGGUUUCUAGGAUUGACGUAAUGAUUAAUAGGGAUAGUUGGGGGCAUUAGUAUUCAAUUGUCAGAGGUGAAAUUCUUGGAUUUAUUGAAGACUAACUACUGCGAAAGCAUUUGCCAAGGAUGUUUUCAUUAAUCAAGAACGAAAGUUAGGGGAUCGAAGACGAUCAGAUACCGUCGUAGUCUUAACCAUAAACUAUGCCGACUAGGGAUCGGAUGAUGUUAAUUUUUAAUGACU